UUAACUUUACAUUCAACAUAUAACCUCAAAGAAAUCAAAAUCAAAUUACACAGUAAAUAAAGCAAAAUAAAGCAAAAUAUAAUUAAAUGUCAAAAAUAUACAACUAUAUACAUCAAUAAAGACAUUAACAUUUCUUCCUCCCCCGGGCAAUUCCCAGCAAGUGGUAUGUUCGGGCGGAACCAAUACUAUUUAAGUUCUGUUCCUGCCCGGACCCUAAUCCUUGUCGCGCCAGGAUGCGGCUGCAGCGGACCAUGCCUGAAGUUCCUCACGGAACAUUGCAAAACUCAUCGACAGCAGAUAUUGGACAGAAAAAACUGCCAAUACAUUUGAAACCACACAUGGAAUCCCGAAGCAGAUAGCUGGGGACCACUGUGGGAUUUACAUACUGAUGAAUGACAUGCCUCUGAUUAGGAGGUGGUGGUGUGCUGUUCUCCUGGACAACUUCACUCUGCAAAUUGUCAACCACUGAGGGUCUUCACUAUUCAAAAAGCAAUGUCUUCAGGCAGAGUCCAGUGAAGCAGUGAAGUUAUUCAGUCAACGGGUGACUCACGUCUUGGUAUGCAGAUGGUUUAGGGAUGUGGUUACUCUAAGUUUUUCGGAAAGCAGAACACGUUGCAUGGCUAGAGGGUGUGGCCAUCUGGAAGAAUUUCACUCCCGUCUACUGGACAGAGUUUAGAUUGUGUACAGCAUCAGGGAAUGCCUGGAGUGCAGAGCCCUUUUCAAUUCGAGGCCUGACAUGGUGAAUUUCUGGGCUUUUACUGAGAUUUUUGCACAGGAUUUAGCUUCCAGGACUUUUUGUGCGACAGGAAACACAUUGGUGUUUUAAGUUCAUAGAAGAGAAAGCGAGAAUGAACUGAGAUCAACUGAUUUUGAUGUAUGAAUUAAUAAUUUUAAGUUAAAACUUUGCAGUGUAUAGUGUUCUAAUAAAAAAGCUUUGUCAAACA